UACGGAAGGUGCAAGCGUUGUUCGGAAUGACUGGGCGUAAAGCGCGCGUAGGCGGGUGAUUAAGUCGAAUGUGAAAUCCCUGGGCUCAACCUGGGAAUGGCAUUCGAAACGGGUCAUCUUGAAUACCUGAGAGGUUAGUGGAAUUCCAGGUGUAGGAGUGAAAUCCGUAGAUAUCUGGAGGAACAUCGGUGGCGAAGGCGACUAACUGGCAGUGUAUUGACGCUGAGGUGCGAAAGCGUGGGGAGCAAACAGG
rnacentral:rRNA from 1 species